rnacentral:rRNA from 1 species
UGGGGAAUAUUGGACAAUGGGCGCAAGCCUGAUCCAGCCAUGCCGCGUGAGUGAUGAAGGCCUUAGGGUUGUAAAGCUCUUUCGCCGACGAAGAUAAUGACGGUAGUCGGAGAAGAAGCCCCGGCUAACUUCGUGCCAGCAGCCGCGGUAAUACGAAGGGGGCUAGCGUUGUUCGGAAUCACUGGGCGUAAAGCGCACGUAGGCGGAUUGUUAAGUCAGGGGUGAAAGCCUGGAGCUCAACUCCAGAACUGCCCUUGAUACUGGCAAUCUCGAGUCCGGAAGAGGUAAGUGGAACUGCGAGUGUAGAGGUGAAAUUCGUAGAUAUUCGCAAGAACACCAGUGGCGAAGGCGGCUUACUGGUCCGGUACUGACGCUGAGGUGCGAAAAGCGUGGGGAGCAAAACAGGAUUAGAUACCCUGGUAGUCCACGCCGUAAAACGAUGGAGGCUAGCCGUUGGCGAGCAUGCUCGUCAGUGGCGCAGCUAACGCAUUAAGCCUCCCGCCUGGGGAGUACGGUCGCAAGAUUAAAAACUCAAAGGAAUUGAC